CAGCCGCCGCGGGAAUACGAAGGGGGCUAGCGUUGCUCGGAAUGACUGGGCGUAAAGGGCGCGUAGGCGGCGAUCAAAGUCAGGCGUGAAAUUCCUGGGCUCAACCUGGGGGCUGCGCUUGAUACUUGGUUGCUUGAGUGGGGAAGAGGGUCGUGGAAUUCCCAGUGUAGAGGUGAAAUUCGUAGAUAUUCGGAAGAACACCAGUGGCGAAGGCGGCUCACUGGACGACUGUUGACGCUGAGGUGCGAAAGCGUGGGGAGCAAACAGGAUUAGAUACCCGUGUAGUCCCUGUCUCUUAUAC
rnacentral:rRNA from 1 species